rnacentral:ncRNA from 21 species
UAGGGUUGCGCUAGAAAGUUUUCUACCGAUCCUAGAAGUCUCUAGGAUCGGUAGAAAACUUUCUAGCGCCUCCUCUAGUAAAGAGUAAAAAACGAGCAAAAAACAUUGCUCGUUUUUUUCAUCA